rnacentral:lncRNA from 11 species
AUGUAUCCCAGUUCCAGCUUUGUCAUCUUUUAUCACAGCUGUGGGAAGAGAGCUGGCUGUUCAGCAGGCUGGGUUUCCAUUUUGCAGCAGCCUCCCAUUAUCUGCUGCCUUAAGAUGAUGGCCUUGUCCUGUCCAGUGGUAGAGGUGACCCUGACAACUAAUCAAGUACAAUUUUAAUGCAAAAUACUUCCUUUUACCUGAUUUGCUUUCUUUGUUUCUGUGGAUUUAACAAUUGAAACCUUGAUCAUCGCUUCCAGAAAACUGAACUUGCAACUGAGAUUAUUAGAAAGAGCGAUCUGCAAUGACCUGGAUGUUUCCUGGAUCAUUGAUUUCAGAUUGAUACACCUGGUGCUUUCCAGUGCACUGAUAAAGCAACACAUUAUUAGUACAACUAUAUGACUUAGUAGUUAUUUUAAACUAUUUUGAGAACAUUUGAAGAAUGCCGUAUAGUUUCAUUGACUUGUUCUUAAGCUAUCAGUUAAUUCUAAAUGCUCUCCCUACAGUGUUCUUAAAUGGAUUCUCCACAAUGACUAGCUUCGACAUAGGUACAUCUCCAGUGUGUUGAGCAAACAAUUCAUUAAGCAUCUUCUCCCACUAUCUUUUAUUACCUGAUACUCCCACUAUCUUUCUAACUGGUUUCCUGCUUCUAGUGUAUUAAAAAUAUCAAUUAGCUUUCAGAUCUGUUUACCUAUGCUCUUCCAUUUCAUGCUUUGCUUGCAUCUCUUACAAAAGUCAAACAGAUCAAUGGCAUGGUUCUAGUCGUCUCUGAGUUGCUGGGACAGGAAAAAUGAGGAUCCAGGUUGGACAAUGCUGGUCUUGCAUUGGUUUGUCUACUUUGUUAGACAUUGGGAACAGUUAGUUCAGGUACAACAUCCCACUAUUGUAUGUAUAGUAGGUUCGUAUAUUUCUGAGUAGACAGUGAUCUUCCUGGUUUAACAGCAUUGUUCUUUUGCUACUCCAAGCAAACACAGCUGCUUUUCUAGAAAGUUUAAAAAUUAGAAAUCUGGUUUCCUUUGAAAACCCUAAGAAGUGAUGCAAUGUAUGUAUUAGUUGGUCAUGCAUUUCCAGUGGAAAGAGUUAUCCAUAUUGUGAUAUUUCUUAUACCAUCUUCUUUGUAAGAGACCCUGAAAUGAUUUGAUGGAAGGCAAUAGGCAGAUUUGGAUAAAGAUCCGCAUUGUUCUGCCUCCUGUUUCCAAUCAUCUGCGUCUCAACUCCAUCCAAGAAUCCAUGCCAACAUGUAGUCCAUGUAUAGGGGAGACUGAAAACAUCUAAGAAAGAUUUGAUGGUGAUGGCGGAAGGAGAUGAAGUAUAUACAUAGCAAAACAUGUCAGAGAAGGCUACAAAAGGCUUAAUAAUAUCCUAAGUGCUGGGACUAUUUCCACAUUACAGGCUGAGCUGCCAACUCCUCCUUUGGAGCCUUUGCUCAGGGAAUCUCUAAAUAAGAGCUUUGCCAUGCCUGUUUUAGGUUUGACUCCAUGUAUAGACUUCCUAAACCGUAAUUUCAGGAGAUCUUAAAUUAUGAAAGCCUCAACAGUCUAAAUUUGUGGUAACUAGAGAGGCACUGGGUGUCUGCCCUUAACAGGUUUCAUCUCAUGCAGGCUUCAUCAUGGCUGUGAUGGCUUCAGACUAGUCAAUCUUCCAUAUUCCCUGGGGUGAGAGGCACAGGACUCCAUGAAAGCGGAGCAAUGGUGAAUCAAAAACAAUAUAUUUUUUAAAAAACUGAGAGAAUACUUAUCUUGAAAUCUCUAGGGCUCCAUCUACACAUAAAAGCAGUUUGAACUGUAUUAUAAUGGUCAGUGCAGACUCA